rnacentral:rRNA from 1 species
GACGAACGCUGGCGGCGUGCCUAAUACAUGCAAGUAGAACGCUGAAGGAGGAGCUUGCUUCUCCGGAUGAGUUGCGAACGGGUGAGUAACGCGUAGGUAACCUGCCUGGUAGCGGGGGAUAACUAUUGGAAACGAUAGCUAAUACCGCAUAACAGUAGAUAUUGCAUGAUAUCUGCUUAAAAGGUGCAAUUGCAUCACUACCAGAUGGACCUGCGUUGUAUUAGCUAGUUGGUGAGGUAACGGCUCACCAAGGCGACGAUACAUAGCCGACCUGAGAGGGUGAUCGGCCACACUGGGACUGAGACACGGCCCAGACUCCUACGGGAGGCAGCAGUAGGGAAUCUUCGGCAAUGGACGGAAGUCUGACCGAGCAACGCCGCGUGAGUGAAGAAGGUUUUCGGAUCGUAAAGCUCUGUUGUAAGAGAAGAACGAGUGUGAGAGUGGAAAGUUCACACUGUGACGGUAUCUUACCAGAAAGGGACGGCUAACUACGUGCCAGCAGCCGCGGUAAUACGUAGGUCCCGAGCGUUAUCCGGAUUUAUUGGGCGUAAAGCGAGCGCAGGCGGUUAGAUAAGUCUGAAGUUAAAGGCUGUGGCUUAACCAUAGUACGCUUUGGAAACUGUUUAACUUGAGUGCAGACAGGGAUGCCGGAAUUCGUGGUGUAGCGGUGAAAUGCUUAGAUAUCACGAAGAACUCCGAUCGCGAAGGCAGGUGUCCGGGCUGCAACUGACGCUGAGGCUCGAAAGUGUGGGUAUCAAACAGG